CUGCGAAACCGCCCCGCGCGGGCGGUCGUCCCGGCGUGGCGGCCGGGGCCUGAUGAGCAGCCAGAG
rnacentral:hammerhead_ribozyme from 1 species